GACGAACGCUGGCGGCGUGCUUAACACAUGCCAGUCGAACGGAAAGGCCCUGCUUUUGUGGGGUGCUCGAGUGGCGAACGGGUGAGUAACACGUGAGUAACCUGCCCUUGACUUUGGGAUAACUUCAGGAAACUGGGGCUAAUACCGGAUAGGAGCUCCUGCUGCAUGGUGGGGGUUGGAAAGUUUCGGCGGUUGGGGAUGGACUCGCGGCUUAUCAGCUUGUUGGUGGGGUAGGGGCUUACCAAGGCUUUGACGGGUAGCCGGCCUGAGAGGGUGACCGGCCACAUUGGGACUGAGAUACGGCCCAGACUCCUACGGGAGGCAGCAGUGGGGAAUAUUGCACAAUGGGCGGAAGCCUGAUGCAGCAACGCCGCGUGCGGGAUGACGGCCUUCGGGUUGUAAACCGCUUUCGCCUGUGACGAAGCGUGAGUGACGGUAAUGGGUAAAGAAGCACCGGCUAACUACGUG
rnacentral:rRNA from 1 species